rnacentral:rRNA from 1 species
CAGUCGCCGCGGGAAUACGUAGGGUGCAAGCGUUAAUCGGAAUUACUGGGCGUAAAGCGUGCGCAGGCGGUUAUAUAAGACAGAUGUGAAAUCCCCGGGCUCAACCUGGGAACUGCAUUUGUGACUGUAUAGCUAGAGUACGGCAGAGGGGGAUGGAAUUCCGCGUGUAGCAGUGAAAUGCGUAGAUAUGCGGAGGAACACCGAUGGCGAAGGAAAUCCCCUGGGCCUGUACUGACGCUCAUGCACGAAAGCGUGGGGAGCAAACAGGAUUAGAUACCCCAGUAGUCCCUGUCUCUUAUAC